UCAAAAAGUAGUUUUGCACUACUUAUAUACAACGUUUGACCGUCUGUCUUAUUUGAAAAAAAAUUAUGAUUCGUAUUUUUGUUGUUAUUAGAUAAUAAAACAUGCAUAGUACUUUAUGUGUAAUUAAUUUCUUUUAAAUUUUUUAUAUUUUUUUAAGAUAAGACGGGCGGUCAAACGUUAAACACGGAAAUCCACGACUACAGUUAAU
rfam:Oryza nivara chromosome 8, whole genome shotgun sequence.